rnacentral:lncRNA from 1 species
UAUCAAGAGCUUAUGACUGGGACAGUCUACCAGGAUCUUAUGUCUGGGACAGUCUACUAGGAGCUUAUGUCUGGAACAGCCCCUAUAGAUUUCACAUGAAAUUUUGGGUAGACCAAGAAUUGAGGCACGAUCUUGAUUAGUUCAAAGUCGAAAAAAAAAGAUUAAGAAAUUUGAAAUUGUGAUAAGAGGAAUAAAUAACGAGAUAUAAAAUAAUGCUGAUAAAAGAUUUCACUUAUUGACCUAUGAUAACACAUCUUUUUUGACAAGACAGAUGAUUGACAUAUAUUUGACAUAUAUUUUAUGGAUGUUUGCAAUAUUCUGAAUAUUGCAUAUGAGAUUUCAUGCUAUACUACUUAUCAUUAUUUUCAUAUUAUAAUAUUAUAA